AUUGAACGCUGGCGGCAGGCCUAACACAUGCAAGUCGAACGAGUGGCGGACGGGUGAGUAAGGUCUGGGAAACUGCCUGAUGGAGGGGGAUAACUACUGGAAACGGUGGCUAAUACCGCAUACCAUCGGAUGUGCCCAGAUGGGAUUAGCUAGUGGGUGGGGUAAGGGCUCACAUAGGGUACGAUCCCUAGCUGGUCGGAGAGGAUGACCAGCCACACUGUAACUGAGACACGGUCCAGACGCCUACGGGAGGCAGCAGUGGGGAAUAUUGCACAAUGGGCGCAAUCCUGAUGCAGCCAUGCCGCGUGUAUGAAGAAGGCCUUCGGGUUGUAAAGUACUUUCAGCGGGGAGGCGUUACCCGCAGAAGAAGCACCGGCUAACUCCGUGCCAGCAGCCGCGGUAAUUC
rnacentral:rRNA from 1 species